AUUGCCCUAGUAACGGCGCAGUGAAGCGGCAACAGCUCAAAUUUGAAAUCUGGCCUUUGGUCCGAGUUGUAAUUUGUAGAGGAUGCUUUUGGUGCGGUUCCUUCCGAGUUCCCUGGAACGGGACGCCUUAGAGGGUGAGAGCCCCGUACGGUUGGAUACCUAGCCUCUGUAAAGCUCCUUCGACGAGUCGAGUAGUUUGGGAAUGCUGCUCUAAAUGGGAGGUAAAUUUCUUCUAAAGCUAAAUACCGGCCAGAGACCGAUAGCGCACAAGUAGAGUGAUCGAAAGAUGAAAAGCACUUUGAAAAGAGGGUUAAAUAGCACGUGAAAUUGUUGGAAGGGAAGCGUUUAUGACCAGACUUUUUCUAGGCGGAUCAUCCGGUGUUCUCACCGGUGCACUUCGCCUAGUUUAGGCCAGCAUCGGUUUCCGUAGGGGGAUAAAAGCUUUAGGAAUGUGGCUCCUUCGGGAGUGUUAUAGCCUAUUGUAUAAUACCCUUCUGGGGACCGAGGUUCGCGCUCUGCAAGGAUGCUGGCGUAAUGGUCAUCAACGACCCGUCUG
rnacentral:rRNA from 1 species